rnacentral:rRNA from 1 species
GACGAACCGUGCGAACGUUGUUCGGAAUCACUGGGCUUAAAGGGCGCGUAGGCGGCCGGGCAAGUCCGGGGUGAAAGCCCCCAGCUCAACUGGGGAAGGGCCUCGGAUACUGCCCGGCUGGGGGGAGGUAGGGGCGGGCGGAACUUCCGGUGGAGCGGUGAAAUGCGUUGAUAUCGGAAGGAACGCCGGUGGCGAAAGCGGCCCGCUGGACCUCUGCCGACGCUGAGGCGCGAAAGCCAGGGGAGCGAACGGG